rnacentral:rRNA from 1 species
UCCGUAGGUGGAUAAUUAAGUCAGAGGUGAAAUCCUGCAGCUCAACUGUAGAAUUGCCUCUGAUACUGGUUAUCUUGAGUUAUUAUGAAGUAGUUAGAAUAUGUAGUGUAGCGGUGAAAUGCAUAGAUAUUACAUAGAAUACCAAUUGCGAAGGCAGAUUACUAAUAAUAUACUGACACUGAUGGACGAAAGCGUGCGGAGCGAACAGGAUUAGAUACCCUGGUAGUCC